AGUCCAAAGGACAUUUUUUUUUUUCAAUUCACUCCUCCUUGUGAAAAUAAGAAUACAAAUGAAACCAUAGGUGUAUCAUAAUGGGAAGCUCUGCUUAUGAGAUGUAUGUCACCUCUUAAAUCUCUCUGAUAAAGAAUAUCACAACCACAGAAUGACUGAGUUGGAAGGAACCUUUUGGAGGUCAAACCCCCUGCUCAAAGCAGGGUCACUGAGAGCAGGAUGCCCAGGACUGUGUCCAAACAGCUCUUGAAUAUUUCCAAGAAUGGAAACUCCACAGUCUCUCUGGACGACCUGUUCCAGUGCUGUCACUCAUGGUAUUGCUCAUGAUUCAUUCACACAGGAAUGAAGACCCCACCAUCUGUGGUGCUGAAGAAGUGUUUAAAGUCCCAGGCUCUGGAGACACACCAUGGCAUACUGUAAACAGAGCAGGGACCAGAUCAGGACCAGAGGUACAGAGCCACAUAAACCUCACGCCUGCUUCACAGCACAGAAACAGCCAUAGAGACAUCACAGCUGCUGACCUACAGGUUGCAGGAAGGAAAGUUAGUACUAACUAUUACUCUGUGCCUUUUCACUAA
rnacentral:lncRNA from 1 species